AAAACCAAGUCUCUAAGCAAUGGAUGUCUUGGCUCCUCACACGAUGAAGAACGUGGCAUAAUGUGUUAAGUAACCGGAGUUGCAAACAUCAUGACAGGUUAAUCUUUGAAUGCAAAUUGCGCUAAACUCGAUCUCGGUCGAGAAGCAUGGGUGUGACAGUACUACAUCUUUUAUAAUAAUUCUUAUUCUAAGCGAAUAAGUAAAUAAUAUAUAAGACAAACAACACGUAGUCUGCCAUACGCAGGAAGACCCGCUGAACUGAAGCAUCUCAUUAAGCGGAGGAAAAGAAACUAACUAGGAUUCCCUUAGUAAAGGCGAUCGAAAAGGGAACAGCCCAACGUCUUAAUCCCGCAAGGGAAA
rnacentral:ncRNA from 1 species